UCUUGAUUUUGCUGUACUGAGGGAUAGCCAAGUCUAUCUUUCUUGCCUAUCAACCUAACCUUCUGCCUCCAAGACACAGGUAAAUUUUCAUGCCUUAUUUUGGGGUAAAAAAUAGUGUCUUCAUUGCCGGGAAAAUACAGUCCUUUGCAAAAAUGUCUGAA